rnacentral:lncRNA from 1 species
CGACCAGGGACUCUAAAUAUCGACCCAUGGAUUUGUUUAACUUCCUGUCGAUGUUGUUCCGAUGGGUUCCUUAGUCGAAAUGAUUUCCUUCUUUGGCCGAAAUUGGUCAACUAAUAAAUUGCCCCCAGAAAAGGCUGGUUUCGACAUGAGCUCGUUGAUCGAGGAACUUGCCUUUUGAUUCCCCAAAUUUUGGCUAGCCGUCUUAUCACUACUCAUGACCUAGCAUGUGAUGAUGAUUUUUUUGGUUGCACAGUUCCCCAGACACUCCACCAUCAUUAGCAACUAUCCCUAGGUCGUGGGAUUCCAACCGAACCUACUAACUCUUCUUACUACUUCCUAGCCAGCCAUUUGUCAAUCGCUCAGUGCUCGACUGUUCACAUUUCCAGCCUAUAUAGUUCUUUCUUCUUCCUCAAACGUUUUUCUGCUUCCAUACCCACGCAUAUUUCUUGCUCAUAUCUUCAAACAACCCCUGCAUUGCAAUUUGUCAUCCAGAAUCUCCAAACUCAACCCAU